CAGUCGUCAUUCCGUUAUUUUUUUGCUUUAUCUUCUCAAAAGAAGAAGUGAAGAACUGAUAGCUAGGUUUGCUCUCUUGUCUUCUCUUCUGUGCUACCAUCUUGUCCGUGUCUUCUCGAUCUGUUGUUCCAUUGAUGGAUCUGUUCUCUGAACAAAAGUUUUUUUUUUCAAUUCUUCUUUCGAUUUUGGUUCAUAAAACCAGAAAAUUCCUUCUUUCGAUUUUCGAUUUUGGUUAAGAACAUGGAGAAGAUUGAACUGUUGUUGAGUUCACGAAAAGAAUUAAAGGGUUGUAGAAGACGGAGGAUCUUCUCAACAACCAUGUCGCGAAAUAGGGAGAAGAACUAGAAAUUAGGUUUUCUGAGUGACAUAGAAAUAGGAUUUGUGCAGCGAAAUAAUGGGGGAAAAGAUGAAAUUGAAGAUGGAUAAAGCUCAAUUCGAAGUUAGAAUUGAUUUAGGAAGAAAAAUUUGAAUGAUGGGGUUAAUGAUGAAUGUUUCUAUCAUCUCCGGUUCAGGUUAAUAAUUUUAAUGGAGUCGAAUUUAAUUUUUUUGGAAUAGCAUAGAGUGGUGAAGAUACAAAUUGAAAUGCUGCAGACCCUAAGUUUUUGCAGUAAAGACCAAGGUGCAGUCUCCUCAGUCAAGCCAACAAAAAGUUCUGAAGAGGAAGAGAAUGUUUAUUUCUAAUCAGUUCAGAACCUCUGGUUGACGCUGAAAAAGUAAAGAGAAUGGGAAAAAGGCUGUAAUGCUGGAUAACUUCACGUACACGCAUAUAGAAUGUUGCAGAUGUUAAUAGGAUGAAUGGGUUGGUAACAGAUCUCCAAAUGUUUGCUCUCAAGACGCUUCAGAUACCAUUACCAGUACGGCGUCCCCCAUCCGCAAGCCUGUCAAAUGGGCAUCCUAGUCCAGGAUAUACAAGACUGUUACUUCAUCGACUGACACGGAGAUCAGGAACAGUCCAUGAAUGGAAGAUGUUGGUAUGUAUGAAUGGGUGACUGAUAUACAUGUGCUUGUUUUUUUUAAUACAAGGGAAUGGGAUGAUGCAUUUUUUCGUUUUCAUGCCAUCAGGUGUGUUUAAAGUUUGUCCCAAACUUUACACAGACACUUUAGAUGUUUUUAGGCUUAGUUAUUACCUUUUUGAACUCUCUGACUGUUGUUCUAUUUCCCAGAUUUCUGAUUCAAAAACAGUAAUCUUACUUGCAUAUAUGCAAGUUUCAAUGUAAAACUUUGUUAUGAAUGCAAGUUUCUAUUAUUAAGUUUA